rnacentral:rRNA from 1 species
UGGACAACAGGUAGAGAUUCCUGUACCAGUGCUAAUUGUUUAACCGAUGGGGUGACACAGAAGGAUAGGGAAUCGCACGAAUGGAAAUGUGCGUCCAAGCAGUGAGUGUGAGAAGUAGGCAAAUCCGCUUCUCGCGAAGCAUGAGCUGUGAUGGGGAAGGAAAUUAAGUACGGAAGUUCCUGAUUUCACGCUGUCAAGAAAAGCCUCUAGGAAGAGUAGUACUGCCCGUACCGCAAACCGACACAGGUAGAUGAGGAGAGAAUCCUAAGGUGAGCGAGAGAACUCUCGUUAAGGAACUCGGCAAAAUGACCCCGUAACUUCGGGAGAAGGGGUGCUCUAUUAGGGUGCAAGCCCGAGAGAGCCGCAGUGAAUAGGCCCAGGCGACUGUUUAGCAAAAACACAGGUCUCUGCAAAACCGUAAGGUGACGUAUAGGGGCUGACGCCUGCCCGGUGCUGGAAGGUUAAGAGGAGUGCUUAGCUUCGGCGAAGGUACGAAUUGAAGCCCCAGUAAACGGCGGCCGUAACUAUAACGGUCCUAAGGUAGCGAAAUUCCUUGUCGGGUAAGUUCCGACCCGCACGAAAGGCGCAACGAUCU